rnacentral:lncRNA from 1 species
CAGUGCCGCUUUUCUUAUCCGAGAUUGCUCCUGCACAGCUCAGGGGAGGUCUCAACAUUGUAUUCCAACUCAUGGUCACAAUUGGAAUCCUAAUAGCCAACCUUGUCAACUACUUCACUGCCACCGUUCACCCUAACGGAUGGCGAAUCGCCCUCGGUGGAGCCGCAAUCCCCGCCGUUAUCCUCGUCUUCGGUUCACUGAUCGUCUGCGAGACUCCCACGAGCCUCAUAGAGCGCAAGGUUUGCUCUCGGUGGAGCCGCAAUCCCCGCGGUUAUCCUCCUCUUGGGUUCACUGAUCAUCUGCGAGACCCCCACGAGCCUCAUAGAGCGCAACAAAAACGAAGAAGGCAGAGAAACUCUAAGGAAGAUCAGAGGAGUUGAAGAUAUAAAUGAUGAGUAUGAAUCAAUCGUUCAUGCUUGCGAGAUUGCGAGUCAAGUCAAAGACCCUUACAGGAAACUGUUGAAACCAGCGAGUCGUCCACCUUUAAUCAUUGGAAUGCUUCUACAGCUUUUCCAGCAGUUUAGUGGAAUCAAUGCUAUUAUGUUCUAUGCACCGGUUUUGUUCCAGACUGUUGGAUUUGGAAAUAACGCAGCUCUUCUCUCUGCGGUUAUCACGGGAAGCAUCAACGUUCUAAGUACGUUCGUAGGGAUCUACCUCGUGGACAGAACCGGUCGGAGGUUCCUUCUUUUACAAUCUUCCGUUCACAUGCUCAUUUCCCAGGUACAUAGAUGUCACUCUCUUUUUUUGAACUUCCGGUACAUAGAUCUCUCUACUUCUUUGUUUAUUGUCUCUAGUUCUAUCUUGAAGUAGGUAUCUUGCUCCACAAGUAAUCUUCUUUGUUUAUUGUAUCUAAGAGCAACCUAAUGCUAGUGUCUAGCAAGGAUUCUAGACAUUAAAAAUAACAAAGAAAAGAGAAAAAUUAGAGAAAGAAUAGAAAAAGGAAGUGAAAAGUUCUCAUUUGAAAAUUCAACAUAAAUAACCAAAAAGCAGAAAAAAAUGGAGAAAGAAUGAAUAAAAAGUAUAAAAAGGAACUGAAAGAGUUCUCAUUUGAAAAAUCUUUUUUCUUUUACAAAUGUGUUAACUCAUGAUUGGUUUAAUUUGUUUUUAUGAUUUAACAUUUAAUUGAUAGACAUGCUCUAAGCAUCUUGAAGUAGGUAUCUUGCACCACAAGUAAUCCUCUAAAACUAACAAACUCUUCUAACAGUUGAUCAUUGGAAUCAUCCUAGCGAAAGACUUGGGCAUCACGGGAACACUCGGGAAGGCACAAGCCAUGGUGGUUGUGGUCUUUGUGUGCGCUUACGUGAUGGGAUUCGCGUGGUCAUGGGGACCAUUAGGAUGGCUAAUUCCUAGCGAGACGUUUCCUCUAGAAACUCGAAGUGCAGGGUUUGCUGUUGCAGUCUCGUGCAACAUGUUAUUCACCUUCGUGAUCGCGCAGGCUUUCUUGUCGAUGCUUUGUGGGAUGAGAUCAGGAAUAUUCUUCUUCUUCAGCGCUUGGAUCAUUGUGAUGGGACUGUUUGCUUUGUUCUUUAUACCGGAGACUAAAGGUGUGGCCAUUGAUGAUGUGAGGGAGAGAGUGUGGAAGCCACACUGGUUCUGGAAAAGGUAUAUGCUUGCUGAGGAUGAUCAUCAAGAUGUGGAGAAGAGAACUGAAUGAUAUCAUAAGUCUUUGUUGAUCAGUGUGUUUGCUUUUCCUUUUUCUUGUUGAUGUUGGUUACUUCUUUUGUUUUGCGGGAACAGAUAGUAUAAUAAGACCAACUUGUUGAUUCAGCCUUAGAUGUUUUAUCAGUGGAAGUCAAUGAAAAUUACUUAUCUUGAAUUCUAUUUUUUUUUCAGUUAUAGUUAUAAACAAUAAGCUCUGGAUUUACAUUCAUGAUUCAUUGUACAAAUGGUUUUUUUUGUUUGAAUAAAUUUAACAUUCUUUCAAAAAAAAAUCUAAAUUUUUGAAAUUGAGUUAUAUGUUUUUGUAACAGAAUUCUAGUUUUCUAAAUUGGGUUCUAUGUUCGUUUAGUAAAAUUCUAUGUUCUGUAGUAGAAACUUAUGUUUAUUUUGUCAAAAAUAUAAUCAUAUGUUUAUACUAUAAUUUUAUGCUUUUUUUUGUAAUAGAACUAUAUGUUUUAAAAAUAAUUUAUCUUUUAAAUAAUUAUAUGUUCUUGUAGUAAAACCCAAGUUUUUGAAAAAAAAAAUUAUCUGUUUUAAAAGAACUAGUGUUUAACACACGCAUGCAGGUAUACACAUCUAUAUCAGGUGGUAUUUAUGUUAAAAAAAAAAGAUAAUUCAUAUAUAUACUAUGUUCUUAUCCGUAAAAGACUAAAAUUUUUUUUAAAAAAAAAACAGAAUAGACAAUAGAAUAACAUUCAACAUUCGUCAUAUAAAAGCUUCGAUUGGUGACCACUAGAUGAAUAAAAAAAUAAACAAAAUAAAAAAUAAAAUUUCAUUUGAAAAAUAAAAAAAUAGGAAUUGUUGUUUAUUUUGUUCCUAGUCAAAAUUGAAGAGGAAUUUUUUUUUUUAUAAAUUCAUUCAUCUUUGAAGAAUUUAGAAAAAAAGUAUGAGACUUACCUAUUAAUAAUUUGAUAAAAAUUUCAAUUUUAACUGGUAUAAAUUUUGAGGAACAAAAAAUUCACCAUAAAUUUUUUUCUUCGACAUGGUCACUAAUGGAAGCCAAAAAUUUGUUUGUUAAAUUUUAGUCGCUCGCCGUGACGCAGCAUCCCGCAAAAGAACAGAGCUAAUAUUCUUCAGUAUUGGUUGUAAAACCACUGUAAAGUUAAGAAGAAAAUUCUUCAGUAGCAUUUAGAAACCUCUCUUCAGCAUACUCGUGAGCAUAAGAAUGAACAUUUAGUUGCAUACAUCUUAAUAAAUAAUUGUAAGUAAAUGCAGCCAGAAAGUCUUGGAGCACCAAGCAGAAGACCACAGAAGAAGAGAAAAAACAGUUACACUGUAAGAAUUGACUGUCGAUAAAUGUUAUACUGAAAAAAGUCACGGCCAAUAAAAGUUAUACUAGAAACAGUACAGAUACAAUAAUGUAAAGAUAAGCGAAACCUGUGUGGACGUAACUAAGUCAACAAAUAGGAAACUUCCUUCAAGUUGCUACACACCAAUCUGCUAAGUUAGCAUUCUUCAGAUAAUCAGUCACCAAGUCCUUCUUUUCCUUCAUAUUAUUUUUGCUCCUAUCUCUAUGGCUCUCUCAUUAGCUUCUUCUCCUUCCUCUCCUGGCACUUGGUUGUACGAUGUUUUCCCUAGCUUCAGUGGGGUAGACGUUCGUGUUACUUUCCUCAGCCACUUGUUGAAGGAGUUUGACAAAAAGUUGAUCACUGCUUUCAAAGACAACGAGAUCGAGAGAAGUCGAUCACUGGAUCCCGAGCUUAAACAAGCCAUUAAAGAUUCGAGGAUCGCGGUGGUUAUCUUCUCCCAAAACUAUGCCUCUUCAAGCUGGUGUCUUAAUGACUUGUUAGAGAUAGUCAAGUGUGGUCAAAUGGUGAUACCUGUUUUCUACCGGUUGGAUCCUUCCCAAGUGAGGAAACAAACCGGUGAAUUUGGGAAAAUAUUUGAAGAAACAUGCAAGAAUCAAAAAGCGGAAGUGAUAAUAAUUCAGUGGAGGAGAGCUUUGACCAAUGUAGCCAAUACUCUCGGGUAUCAUUCAGUAAACUGGUACGGUUUUAUGCUUCUUUUGAAUAAAGGUUAGACUUCUGGUUGCUAGGGGGUGAUAUUAUCUUUCUUAUUGUUAGGGGUAACGAAGCUGCAAUGAUUGAAGAAAUCGCCAAUGAUGUUUUGGAUAAACUACUUUUAACUUCAUCGAAGGAUUCAGAGAACUUUGUGGGCAUCGAAGAUCAUCUAGCAGAACUGAGUGUAUUGCUGCAGUUGGACGCGGAGGAAGUGAGGAUGGUUGGUUUAUGGGGUUCCUCAGGGAUCGGCAAGACUACAAUUGCAAGAGUUCUGUUUCAACGGCUUUCUCGACACUUCCGAGGUAGCAUUUUCAUAGACAGGGCUUUCGUAUCUAAGACUAUGGAAAUUUUCAAGGAAGCUAAUCCGGACGACUAUAACAUGAAGCUGCAUUUGCAAAGAAAUUUCCUAUCUGAAAUCUUAGGUAAAGGAGACAUAAAGAUAAAUCAUUUGAGUGCAGUUGAAGAGAGGCUGAAGAAUCAGAAAGUUCUUAUUUUCAUUGAUGAUUUUGAUGAUCAAGUUGUGCUAGAAGCCUUGGUUGGUCAAACUCAAUGGUUUGGAAGUGGGAGCAGAAUCGUUGUGGUUACAAAUGAUAAGCAGUAUCUAAGGGCCCAUGGGAUUAAUCACAUUUACAAGGUCUAUCUCCCAACUAAAAAGCUAGCUGUUGAGAUGUUAUGUCGAUAUGCUUUCAGGAAAAAGGCUGCACCUGAAGGUUUUGAGGAGCUUGUAGCUGAAGUUACAAGACUUGCUGGUAGUCUUCCUUUAGGUCUUAAUGUUUUGGGUUCAUCUCUACGGGGAAGGGACAAGGAGUACUGGAUGGAUUUGUUGCCAAGGCUUCGGAAUUGUUUAGAUGGGAAAAUUGAGAAGACAUUGAGAGUCAGUUACGAUGGAUUAACAAGCGAAGAAGAUAAAGCGUUAUUUCGCCAUAUCGCAUGCCUUUUCCAAUGGAAAAAAGUCACAUACCUGAAGUUGCUGCUCGCUGAUAGUGGGUUGAGUGUUACGGUUGGGCUGGAAAACCUAGCUGAUAAGUCCCUCAUUCAUGUAAGAGAGGAUUAUGUGAAGAUGCACCGUUUGUUAGAAGAGAUGGGUAGAGGUAUUGUUAGGCUUGAGGAGCCUGAAAAACGAGAAUUUCUGGUGGACGCACAAGAUAUCUGUGAUGUACUCAGUCAAGACACUGUAAGUUAUCUCUUAUGUUCGUGCUCCUUUCAGUCAAUAAAUAAGAUUUAGAGCAUGCCAUUUUAUAAGCAAAACUAAUACUUAGCAUUGGUUCAGAUUUCUCUUAUCAUUCUUAAUGAUAUUAUAUAAUUUUCAGGGUACUCAUAAGAUAUUAGGUAUAUCAUUGGAUACUGAUGAGAUUGAUGAGUUGUAUGUGCAUAAGAAUGCCUUCAAAGGGAUGCGCAAUCUGCGUUUCCUGGAAAUUCACUCAAAAAAGCGUUAUGUGUUUGGAAACGAAGAAGUACCAAUUCACUUACCUGAAAACUUCGACUAUUUGCCUCCUAAACUUAAAAUAUUGGAUUGGUAUGAAUAUCCAAUGAGAUGUCUGCCUUCUAAGUUUCGUCCUGAAAAACUCGUCAAGCUCAAAAUGGAGAAUAGCAAGCUCGAGAAGCUGUGGGAAGGGAUUGUGGUAAGUUUUGAGAAUAGUUUGUGAUGUUAUUUGUAGUAAGACUAAUCUUUAUUUUAUUUUUUGGAUGACAAUCUUGUUCUACUGAGCUCAUGUGUUCUGUUCCUUUUUUUUUUUGUUGAGUACAGUCGCUUACAUGUCUUAAAGAGAUGGAUAUGUGGGGAUCUACAAACUUGAUAGAAAUGCCAGAUCUUUCAAAGGCCACCAAUCUGGAGACACUUAAACUUCGGAAAUGCUAUAGUUUGGUCAAGCUUCCUUCCUCCAUUCCACAUCCCAACAAACUGAAGAAAUUAGACCUGAGAAAUUGUCGAAAUGUGGAGACUAUUCCAACUGGCAUUAGCCUCAAAUCUCUCAAAGACCUAAAUACUAAAGGAUGCUCACGGAUGAGGACUUUUCCCCAAAUCUCAAGCACCAUCGAAGAUGUCGACAUAGACGCAACAUUCAUUGAAGAAAUACGUUCAAAUUUGAGUUUGUGUUUCGAGAAUCUCCAUACCUUUACGAUGCACAGCCCAAAGAAACUAUGGGAAAGAGGGCAGGUAUGUAUGUAGUUCCAAACUUCGUGUGUUUCUCCAAUCUAUUUUACGUUAUAGAUAUUAGAUAAUGGUGCAAAUGAAACUAAGGUUAUAUUGUAUUUAUCGGAGGGAAGAAGAGUAGCGCUGAAUAUGAUUUUGUGUAUCUGUCUCCCUCUUUGUGGCAUCUGGAUCUCUCGGAUAACCCUGGUUUGGUGGAGCUUCCUUCUUCAUUUAAGAAUCUCCAUAACCUGUCGAGAUUGAAAAUUAGAAACUGCGUAAAUCUGGAAACUCUUCCCACCGGAAUCAACCUCGGAUCUCUCUCGAGAGUAGAUCUCAGUGGAUGCUCACGGUUGAGGACUUUUCCUCAAAUCUCAACUAACAUCCAAGAGCUCGAUCUAAGCGAAACAGGGAUUGAAGAGGUUCCUUGUUGGAUUGAGAAAUUCUCCAGGCUUAACUCCCUACAGAUGAAGGGAUGCAACAAUUUGGAAUAUGUAAACCUAAACAUUUCAGACUGCAAGUCAUUGACUGGAGCUAGCUGGAAUAAUCAUCCAAGAGAAAGUGCCUUGAGUUAUUACCACAGUUUCGACAUUGGUAUCGAUUUCACCAAGUGCUUAAACUUGGUUCAAGAAGCUCUGUUUCAAAAGAAAACAUAUUUCGGUUGUCAACUGAAGUUGUCAGGUGAAGAAGUGCCUUCAUAUUUCACGCACCGUACUACUGGAACCUCCUCCUCUCUCACCAUUCCUCUACUUCACAGCUCUCUCACGCAACCAUUCCUCCGAUUCAGGGCUUGCAUUGUGUUUGAUUCGGACAAAGAGUCAUAUCGCAGUUGUGCCUUUAGAUUCAAAGGCAGUUUUCGGAACUGCUCUGAUUCCUAUAAUCAGGCACAAGACUUCUGCGCAGUCACGGAGGAUUAUAAGAUCUUUUCAUUUGAGGAGGAUAGUUGUCUGUUUGUAUUAGACUACCAGAUGACUCAAAUCCCUUUAGAAAUGAACUUCGAUGGCCUGGAUCUGAAGAUUCAUAUUGUUGAUUGUAAUCAUGCUAAAAUAAAAGGAUGGGGUAUACGAAUCUUAGAGGAGGACUGUUCAUCGGCAGACAACCGACUUAGUUAUCCAAACAUUCUACCACAUGUUUUUGAAGCCGAUGAAUGCAAUAUGAGGCUGGUGAAUGUGGAGGCAAAUGAUGCAGUGACGGAAAGAAGCGGGUAAAGGCAUUAAUCAUGAACUUAUCACAGUAUUUUUGCUAUAUCAUAAUUUCUUGUACUGAGACUUUUUUUUUUCUUUUUCUGCAGAUUUCGUGAAUAAACUUUUGAUUGUGUUAGGUUGUAACGCAGAGCAUCUAAAAUUAGGAAUUAAAUCAGUUCCACAAACCAAAUAGACAUUUUUCGACUGGUGAUUUCAGAUGAUGCCUUUUUUUAUUCUCUGUGUGUUUAAUGAUCAAGUAUAUAUAUAUAUAUACAGUAUAUAUUCAUGCCAUAUUUACAUGAUGAUCAAGAAGCUCUCUAUCAACAAUGAUGUGUAGACAAGGGCAAAACAAUAUUGUGGGAAGGAGUAGUGCAUGUAUGUUUUCUUCAACCUUCCUUCCUUUUAUACUAGUUCUUAAAAAAAUGGUUAUGCCUGGCAGAUCUCUAGAAAUGACCUAACAUUAUUGUGUGUACCUUAAAUUCUCAGGCAGUGCCUCUUUUUCUAUCAGAAUUUCUCCUGCACAGCUCAGGGGAGGUCUCAACAUUGUAUUCCAACUCAUGGUCACAAUUGGAAUCCUAAUAGCCAACCUUGUCAACUACUUCACUGCCACCGUUCACCCUAACGGAUGGCGAAUCGCCCUCGGUGGAGCCGCAAUCCCCGCCGUUAUCCUCGUCUUCGGUUCACUGAUCGUCUGCGAGACUCCCAC